UGUAAACAAACCAGCCCAGCCCGCCAGGGUGCUUACCCUGGUGGCCGCGUGCCAAAGGUUGCCCUCUGUUAUAAGAGGUUGUGCCUUUAAGGGCUGAGCUUCCUAGACAGAGUUCUCAGACACCAAUUGGCACCAGGGUACAGAAGAAAGAAGAAUUCUUGCAAGCACCACAAAUGCCUCCUUAGUGAAUAUGAAGAAACCACCACCACUAAGUGUUAGUCACAUUUCUGAACAAGCAGAGAAGCCAAGUACUGAAUUAGCAUGGAGAAAGAACUACCCUCAAGAUCAGAAUAGAGACACAUUGAUGAGGACUGAAAGAGAAGAUAUGACUCUGCCAGAGAGAAGCAGUAUCUGAAAAAGGAUCCGAUUGAACAAGUCUGUAGGGGAAAUUCCUGAAGUGACAAGGGUGUGGACAAGAUGACCUAUGAGAAGUUAGAGAUAGCAAAACCUAUGAUGGAACUAAAACGAUUAAAUUAAAGUCAAUAACCAGAAGUAGAUAACACUCAACUCAGAGUCCUACUGUGACUAAAGACCAGCAGCUAGUGGAUAGGGAAAACAAGGUACCUCUAAACUGUAGGCCCAGCUCACUAGUCCCAUUGACAAGCUCUGGGGGCUUGCUCCAAUCACAUGCUUUGUUAAAAACCCCAUUAGUAUAUGGAUUUGUGUUAGUCAGCCAAUACUAUUCUCCCUGUCCCUAAGUGUCACACGAUCAUCUCACUCCCCAUUCAAGUUCUCCAAAAAUAGUUCAGCAAUCUCUCAUGGGAUACCCAUAUAAGUAGCUUUUGCUCACACUCAUUAUGAAAGUGGACCACAGUGAUGUACCCACUAUCUUUUUCCCAACUCACUGAGCCAUUCAUCUUAUUAAGCUAACACAGCUUUCAUGAUUGUACCUGUGACCACACAAGACUUCCUACUAAGUAUGGCCAAUGGGAAAACAUGAAUUUGUUUUCAAGAGAAUGUCCUGCUGUAAAGGCACCAAUCAGUCAUAAUGGGGAAAGAAGAGGUUGUCAAGCUUUAACCUGAAAAUGUGACUGAUGUCCUUGUGAUGUGAAUGACAUAGAAGUUGGCCUGAUUCACUAAAGACAACUGGGGAAAGAGUUCACAAUCAAUUUGUAUUGAAGAGAAUGAACUGUAUCUUAGACCCUACCUCUGAGCAACCAUAUCCCACCCCUCUAUGUCCAAAGGCAACGUCUUAUAAACACUAAUUGUCCUUAAGCUAGAACACUGGUUCCAACAUAGACACAAGCAGAAAUACAUAUAGAUAUCAUAAGAAAAACAUGUCUUAUAUCAAGAACUAUAUUGCAUACAAGACACUAUGUGAACAUGGAUGUUCUGGGAUAUUGGAAACAGCAAGAUUUGGCCAAAGGGAGCAAGUUGGGGCCUGGCUUAGCCAGCUUUAACUUUGUUAUGCAAAUCAGUCAUCAUGGCAGCUCCCCACAGCACUUUCCUUGUGCAGUCUAGAAUUUCAGUUUCCCAGAGUUGUGAUCAAAGAUAAAUCAGCUGAGUGCUGUGACAAGACAUCUGUUCAGCCUCCAUCCUGCAGGUUUCCUCUAUAGCACCUAUGGAAGCUCCAGACAGACUAUUCUCUCUGCCACUGUAAUGUUUUAACCAGUACAUUGAGACUGCAUGCUACAUAAACAUCUGGCUUUCCAUUUCCUGCUUGCACACCUUGAGUAUGGAAGCAUGGUCCAGCAGAUAAGUCUGGGUCUCAAGAUAUCUGGAUUUAUUCCUAGGUUGUCCACUGCCCUGCACGGGUGCCAUUUCAGAUUUGCGGGUGAGGAAGAGACUUUAACCAUGAUUCCAGGGGAUACUUAGGCACUUGAAGACUCUAGUUUUUUGGCAGAUAACUUAGCAAUUAGCUGACAGGAGCAUUGUAUAUAAUUCCUACAAAAAAGAAAGAAAAUUAAAAAAAAAUUAGACCCACUCAGCUCUAACACUAACAUGGUCUGAUGUCUUGUGGCAAGUCACUUAAGGGACACUGAUUAGUUAAAAAUUUUAAUGUAUAUUCUUACUUUGUUACUAACUCUGUGGAGAUAGAGCCUCCAUCAGGACCUGUGGUUUCUAUCUCAGCUCUGGGAGGCGAGUGGGGGGUCUAGUGGGUUACAGCAGGCGGUCAGAUACCUCUGGAUUCUAUAUAAGAACAUCUGAAUUGGCCAUACUGGGUAAGACCAAUGGUCCAUCUAGCUCAGUAUUCUGUCUUGUUUUCUAACAGUGGCUAAUACCAUGUGCUUCAGAGCGAAUGAACAGA